rnacentral:rRNA from 1 species
UACAGAGGUCUCAAGCGUUGUUCGGAUUCAUUGGGCGUAAAGGGUGCGUAGGCGGCGCGGUAAGUCGGGUGUGAAAUCUCGGGGCUUAACUCCGAAACUGCAUUCGAUACUGCCGUGCUUUGAGGACCUGGAGAGGAGACUGGAAUUUACGGUGUAGCGGUGAAAUGCGUAGAUAUCGUAAGGAAGACCAGUGGCGAAGGCGGGUCUCUGGACAGUUCCUGACACUGAGACACGAAGGCCAGGGGGAGCAAACGGG